AGCGAACGCUGGCGGCAGGCCUAACACAUGCAAGUCGAACGAGACCUUCGGGUCUAGUGGCGCACGGGUGCGUAACGCGUGGGAAUCUGCCCUUGGGUUCGGAAUAACAGUGAGAAAUUACUGCUAAUACCGGAUGAUGACGAAAGUCCAAAGAUUUAUCGCCCAAGGAUGAGCCCGCGUAGGAUUAGCUAGUUGGUGAG
rnacentral:rRNA from 1 species